GACGAACGCUGGCGGCGUGCCUAAUACAUGCAAGUUGAGCGCUGAAGGUUGGUACUUGUACCAACUGGAUGAGCAGCGAACGGGUGAGUAACGCGUGGGGAAUCUGCCUUUGAGCGGGGGACAACAUUUGGAAACGAAUGCUAAUACCGCAUAAAAACUUUAAACACAAGUUUUAAGUUUGAAAGAUGCAAUUGCAUCACUCAAAGAUGAUCCCGCGUUGUAUUAGCUAGUUGGUGAGGUAAAGGCUCACCAAGGCGAUGAUACAUAGCCGACCUGGGAGGGUGAUCGGCCACAUUGGGGCUGAGACACGGCCCAAACUCCUACGGGAGGCAGCAGUAGGGAAUCUUCGGCAAUGGACGAAAGUCUGACCGAGCAACGCCGCGUGAGUGAAGAAGGUUUUCGGAUCGUAAAACUCUGUUGGUAGAGAAGAACGUUGGUGAGAGUGGAAAGCUCAUCAAGUGACGGUAACUACCCAGAAAGGGACGGCUAGCUACGUG
rnacentral:rRNA from 1 species